UCCUGAGUCUGGAAGGAAGAGCCGGGGGCAGAGGGGAGGGAGCAGGGUGGCCCCACCACAGCCCCGCGAUGCCUUCCCGAGAGGUGGUUCUACUUCCUGUCCUGUGUGCUCUGCUUUGGGGACCCUCCUGCAGCCCCUCAGCUGCCCGGCCUCCUUCCCUUCACUCCAGGCCGCCUGGGCUGCACCUGCUGCCUGACCGCCCUCGGGCACAGCCCUGCUGCAGUGACAGCGCCGCCUCUCGCGGCCUCCCCCGGCCCACGCCCGUCCUCCCCGGCUCCUGCUCCUGUCCUUCCCGGCCCCUGCUCCUGUCCUCCUCUGCCCUCCGCCCGUCCUCCCCGGCCCCUGCUCCCGUCCUCCCUGGCUCUUGCUCUGGUCCUCCCCAGCCCCUGGGCCCAUCCUCCCCGGCCCCUGCGCCCAUCCUUCCCAGCUUCUGAUCCCGUCCUCCCCGGCUCCUGCUCCCAUCUUCCCCGGCCCCUGCUCCCGUCCUCCCCGGCUCCUGCUCCCGUCCUCCCCAGCCCCUGGGCCCGUCCUCCCCGGCCCCUGCGCCCAUCCUUCCCAGCUUCUGCUCCCAUCCUUCCUGGCCCCUGCUCCUGUCCUCCUCUGCCCUCCGCCCUUAUCUCGGGGAGCACAGGCAGCAGCCCUGCACCUGAGCCACCGCCUCGCACCACCCUCUCUGCUGUUAUCAGGAGCUCCUCACAUCCAAUUCACCAGGAAGCCCUGAGGACACGGACCGGGAUCCAGAGCCGAAAUCCAAUUAAGCGGGACUGGGGCUGUGGCUGCCUCUCUGUCCACUUCCUGCUCACAGCCCGUGCACCAGGACCGGUGGCAGAGCAGACCCACCCGUGGACAAGCUGGGAGCCCCGGGCCCUGGUUCAGCAACAGGAUGGGGGAAGGAAGUAAGAAGGGAAGGAGAGAGAAGGAGGACAAGAGAGCGAGAGCGAGAGCGAGAUCUUCCGUUCACGGAUUUAUUCUCCAAAGGCCUGAAGCACCUGAGACUGACCGGGUCAAAACCAGGGCUCCAGCACAGGUGGCAGGGACCCGAGGACUUGGGCCACCAUUUGCUAAGCUUUAUUGUUGUGGAACCGACACAUGAAAAUGUAAAAAGAAAAUAUUGUAGGGCGUAGGCAUCUGCGCUGUUGGGAACCCAUUACUACAGUCGAGGCAGCGCCGCACCCUCCACCUCCGGCUUCUGUGCUCCCUCCUCGUCUUGGAGGUCAGGGCAGGUGACACAACUCCUUCCCUGGCGAUUGGUAAGGCACAGUGCUGAGAGCCCAGUGCUGUGUGUGGAGCAGGCUCCCGAACUCACUCCUCUCUCAUGACUGAACUGUUUACCACACGGCUGUGCCUCCGAAGUCUAGAAACUACAGAGCAUCUAUCAGCAGUGGCUGACACAUGAGCCACGGGGCGGCCGUGCCCAGGAACACUGAGCAACCACUAGAGACAAGGAAAGUCUUCCUGUGCUGCUGUGCUACUGUGAGCAGAUUCCAAGACAAGCUCCGUGUAAAAAGCAGGGUGCAGAACACGGUGCAUGGCGUGUGCCGUGUUCAGUGGGAGCAGUGUCACGCGGUGUGUGGCGUGUGCCGUGUUCAGGGGAGCAGUGUCACGCGGUGUGUGGCAUGUGCCAUGUUCAGGGGAGCAGUGUCGGGUGGGUGUGUGGCGUGUGUCGUGUCUCAGUGGGAGCAGUGUCGGGUGGGUGUGAUGUGUGCCGUGUUCAGGGGAGCAGUGUCGGGUGGUGUGUGGCGUGUGCCGUGUUCAGGGGAGCAGUGUCACGCGGUGUGUGGCGUGUGCCAUGUUCAGGGGAGCAGUGUCGGGCGGGUGUGGCGUGUGCUAUGUCUCAGUGGGAGCAGUGUCGGGUGGGUGUGGCGUGUGCCGUGUUCAGGGGAGCAGUGUCACGCGGUGUGUGGCGUGUGCCGUGUUCAGGGCAGCAGUGUCGGGUGGGUGUGGCGUGUGGGGGAGAUGCAGUGCUUUGGCGGUGUGGGAGUCUAUGUUUGCUGGAUGUGGAAUUCCAGGGAAACUCAGAAUGGAAGGCAUCGGCCACAUUCAUCCAGCUCCCAAGGGC